UUCUUGCAUAUUCUAGUUCAGAGUUAAUGUGAAGAUAAUUUUUAUUUAUAAAUACUUAUACUAGUAUGAUAAAUGGAUUUUAAAUUCCCUUAACUACACUUGAAUACAGGUGUUGCAUGGCUGUUUUUAGUUCGUGUUGUGAAAUGUUAGGUUCAUUCCGUGAACGAACGUAAUCCUUAUCUUUAAUUACAAUGACAUUCAGAAUGAAUAAAAUUCAAUUGGAAUUUAUUGGAAUUCCAUUGAAUUCCGAAUGAAUAUUUAAUAAAACUCAUUCUGGAUUAUUGAAAUGCAAUUCUUUCAGUUCAUGAAUGAAGCAUUCAUAUUAACUUAAUUAAAGAAGUAUCUUUUGAUAAGAAAGAAUAAUUAGGCCGAAGACAAGUCCUCAUGACCCUUAUGGAGUGGGCUACAGACGUGCCACAAAGAUUUCUACAAA
rnacentral:rRNA from 1 species